rnacentral:rRNA from 1 species
CCUACGGGGUGCUGCAGUGGGGAAUAUUGGACAAUGGGCGAAAGCCUGAUCCAGCUAUGCCGCGUGUGUGAAGAAGGCCUUCGGGUUGUAAAGCACUUUCAGUGGGGAAGAAAGCCUUGGGGCUAAUACCCUCGAGGAAGGACAUCACCCACAGAAGAAGCACCGGCUAACUCCGUGCCAGCAGCCGCGGUAAUACGGAGGGUGCGAGCGUUAAUCGGAAUUACUGGGCGUAAAGCGCGCGUAGGCGGUCUGAUAAGCCGGUUGUGAAAGCCCCGGGCUCAACCUGGGAACGGCAUCCGGAACUGUCAGGCUAGAGUGCAGGAGAGGAAGGUAGAAUUCCCGGUGUAGCGGUGAAAUGCGUAGAGAUCGGGAGGAAUACCAGUGGCGAAGGCGGCCUUCUGGACUGACACUGACGCUGAGGUGCGAAAGCGUGGGUAGCAAACAGGAUUAGAUACCCGAGUAGUC